rnacentral:lncRNA from 1 species
AUCAAAAUUCAUUAAAUUUUGUGUCAUUAUAUUUUGAUUAAGUUAAAUUUAAUAAGGUUUCAAAUAUAUUAUUUUUUCUUGUUCGGUACUCAGAGCUUUUGAAAUGGCUUCCAAUUGGUGAACCUUGUGACGUCACGCUAUAAAAUUGUAAGCACACAAGUAUACACACAUACAAGCGUAUGUACAUAUGUAAAUAUCUACCCAGUCAGGCAAGAAGCACUCAUGCUAAUGGAAUUCUUCUGUUCAUAUGAGGCGAUGAUGGGAGUGGGGAGUGGGCGCCAUAAACAAACAAACAUCGCACUUGUAAUAACAUUUAACCCAAAAUAAAAAUCCAUAUGGUAAUGGCCUGCCGAAAAGGAGCGAUGCGAUACGUGGAAGCGGUAGCUGAAGCGGGAUCGUGCGGCUGAGUGUCAGGCCGAGAUAACGAGUAAAAACAUUCGAAUAAUUGUUACUCAAUCGAAAUUGAGCAAACAAUAUUGUUCCGGGAAGCACAGCGGAAGCACACUACACGCAGAAAAAUUCGAACUCUUAGUUGUCCCAACACUUAGUUGACUCCCAACAAAAAAAAAAUCGGCUUGACAUCAAGACUUACUAGGAGUAUAUAAAGGGAGCAUGGCCAGAUGGCAAACGAAUUUAAAUUGAUC